CAAAGGGACCCUGGACUCGGCUGUCACAGAGGCCGCCGACCAAGCCUGGCACCUGACCAUCCCACUACCUCCUCCAGGUCUGGCUAGACCUGGCUCAGCCCAUCACGAGCAUCAUGUACCAGUUCUCUAUCUGGAUGUAUGCGGGAGGCAUGUUAACAGCCUGAACCAGAGCUGGUGCGGCAAGAGACCACCACCAGAGCCACCUGCCCCAGGACAGAAACUUGCCAUGUGGCUCCUGCAUCCUGCUCCCAGGUCACUGUCUGUGUCGCAGUGUCCCUACUGACAUUCUAAAACUGGUGUGAUGCUCCUAAAUGGCCCACAGUCCAGGGUUAAAGGGCCACUUCUCCGGAAAGGCCCACCUCUCAAACAUCUCCUGAGCAACUGCCAAG
rnacentral:lncRNA from 1 species